UACGGGGGGAGCGAACGUUGUUCGGAAUCACUGGGCGUAAAGGGCGUGUAGGCGGUUCGGUAAGUGGAAUGUGAAAUCCCCCGGCUUACCCGGGGAACUGCAUCCCAUACUGCUGGACUUGAGUGCGGGAGAGGAUGGAGGAAUUCCUGGUGUAGCGGUGAAAUGCGUAGAUAUCAGGAGGAACACCGGUGGCGAAGGCGGCCCUCUGGCUCGACCCUGACGCUGAGGCGCGAAAGCGUGGGGAGCGAACGGG
rnacentral:rRNA from 1 species